rnacentral:rRNA from 1 species
GACGAACGCUGGCGGCGUGCCUAAUACAUGCAAGUCGAACGCUUCUUUCCUCCCGAGUGCUUGCACUCAAUUGGAAAGAGGAGUGGCGGACGGGUGAGUAACGCGUGGGUAACCUACCCAUCAGAGGGGGAUAACACUUGGAAACAGGUGCUAAUACCGCAUAACAGUUUAUGCCGCAUGGCAUAAGAGUGAAAGGCGCUUUCGGGCGUCGCUGAUGGAUGGACCCGCGGUGCAUUAGCUAGUUGGUGGGGUAACGGCUCACCAAGGCCACGAUGCAUAGCCGACCUGAGAGGGUGAUCGGCCACACUGGGACUGAGACACGGCCCAGACUCCUACGGGAGGCAGCAGUAGGGAAUCUUCGGCAAUGGACGAAAGUCUGACCGAGCAACGCCGCGUGAGUGAAGAAGGUUUUCGGAUCGUAAAACUCUGUUGUUAGAGAAGAACAAGGACGUUAGUAACUGAACGUCCCCUGACGGUAUCUAACCAGAAAGCCACGGCUAACUACGUG